UACAGGGGGUGCAAACGUUGCUCGGAAUCAUUGGGCGUAAAGCGCACGUAGGCGGUUCGUUAUGUCGGAUGUGAAAGCCCUUGGCUUAACCGAGGAAGUGCAUCCGAAACUGGCGAGCUAGAGUACUAAAGAGGAUCGCGGAAUUCCCGGUGUAGAGGUGAAAUUCGUAGAUAUCGGGAGGAACACCGGUGGCGAAGGCGGGUCUCUGGGCAAUUCCUGACGCUGAGGCGCGAAAGCGUGGGGAGCAAACGGG
rnacentral:rRNA from 1 species